CGAGUAGGAAGUUUCUGCCGUUAGGGAUUAUGUGCUGUUUCCUCACCCAGAAGCUUUCGGCUUGUCCCCUCCCACUCUUGAAAAAGCAGCGACUCAAACUAGAAAACGGUGCGAACUAAAUACCUGCCUCUCUGACCACCAGCCUCAGCUUUUCAGCCCUGCUCGUCUGCGCUUGUGCGAUUGCUGGGAGGAGGCAGCCGCGUUCCGUCUGCUUUUGUGUGGUUGUACAGAAGUGCUGUGGUUGGGAGGAGGAGGUGGAGGGGAACAGCUGCUCCCCACACAGAAGCCGGUUUCCCAGCCUGACAGGCAGCGAGGGCAGCCUGUGCCGGGGCUGUUUUCCCGGGGGCCCUCGGGUUGCUUCGCCAGCCUCCGCAGCUCCGGCUAGGAGGGAGAUUUUUAUGGCAGCGGCGAAACACGAAAUGGACCAGAACAAGUAGGAUUCUUUCCUUCACAAGGCCAGGUGCUCGUGUUCUCUCGCAGAAAUCAGGAGCAGAUAUGGAUACAUCUCCACUGAAACUCGACCAGGUUAAGCUCUUGGGACCUGGGCAGAGGGCAAAAGCACUCAAUCCCCUGGCCGUGUCCUGACUGAGACGGACGUGGGACGGAUGUCUGUGAGAGAUAUGAAAGAAAAACGGUGGACGAGAGAGAGGAUGCGGUGGUGGUGUGUCUGCGAGAUCGAAUGUUCAAUAUGUUCACAUGCCUAUAGUGAUGAUGAUGAUGGUUUCUUCUGGUUUUUAAAUAAAACUUGAUCCUGUAUGUCUGCUGAGGUGUUUUUCUUUGGGGUGAGGGGUGCAGGAGAGGGUCGUCAUGCUAAUCGCUCUGUCUGGCUGUCUGGUCGCCACUGCAGCUCAUCUAUAAAUGACCUUUAUCGCAUCAGCAGCAGAAGUGCCG
ensembl:lncRNA